rnacentral:rRNA from 1 species
GACGAACGCUGGCGGCGUGCUUAACACAUGCAAGUCGAACGGAGCGAAUGAAAGCUUGCUUUUAUGAGCUUAGUGGCAAACGGGUGAGUAACACGUAGACAACCUGCCGACAGGAUGGGGACAACAUUCCGAAAGGAAUGCUAAUACCGAAUGAAGCGGAGGAGAGGCAUCUCUCCUCCGUGAAAGAUGGCCUCUGAAAAUGCUAUCACCUGUCGAUGGGUCUGCGUCUGAUUAGCUAGUUGGUGAGGUAACGGCUCACCAAGGCGACGAUCAGUAGCCGGUCUGAGAGGAUGAACGGCCACAUUGGGACUGAGACACGGCCCAGACUCCUACGGGAGGCAGCAGUGGGGAAUCUUCCGCAAUGGGCGCAAGCCUGACGGAGCAACGCCGCGUGAGUGAAGAAGGUCUUCGGAUCGUAAAGCUCUGUUGAUGGGGACGAACGUGCCUAAUGCGAAUAGUUUUAGGUAAUGACGU